rnacentral:rRNA from 1 species
GACGAACGCUGGCGGCGUGCCUAAUACAUGCAAGUAGAACGCUGAAGCGAGGAGCUUGCUCUUCUUGGAUGAGUUGCGAACGGGUGAGUAACGCGUAGGUAACCUGCCUUGUAGCGGGGGAUAACUAUUGGAAACGAUAGCUAAUACCGCAUAACAAUGGAUGACACAUGUCAUUUAUUUGAAAGGGGCAAUUGCUCCACUACAAGAUGGACCUGCGUUGUAUUAGCUAGUAGGUGAGGUGAUGGCUCACCUAGGCGACGAUACAUAGCCGACCUGAGAGGGUGAUCGGCCACACUGGGACUGAGACACGGCCCAGACUCCUACGGGAGGCAGCAGUAGGGAAUCUUCGGCAAUGGGGGCAACCCUGACCGAGCAACGCCGCGUGAGUGAAGAAGGUUCUCGGAUCGUAAAGCUCUGUUGUAAGUCAAGAACGGGUGUGAGAGUGGAAAGUUCACACUGUGACGGUAGCUUACCAGAAAGGGACGGCUAACUACGUG